UCCGCCCCGCGGCGUUGCUACUGCUUAGAUCCCACCCCUUCCCCUUUGAUCUUGGAGGUGUCUUGUUUAUUGGCCAUUUGAUUGGCCGACAUGUAAGAUAAACCCGCCCUCCGACUUUUCUAGAGGGCGGGAGAAACUUAAGGCUAAACUUUGAUAGGCUCAACCACUCUUGAUACUUUGACCGCGGCCAUUGGCCAGCACCACGUCGGAAUCUGAUUGGCUACAGCAAGAGGGCGAAGCGCCAGGGGCUAUCGAGGCGGAAUUUGGGCCCCGGACUGGCGCCGGGAAGCACAGCAACUAUGUGGAAACUUGUCGGACGCACAGCUUGUCCCAGAGCUGACUCAUUGGUGAACCCCUCCGACCAGUGACGGUUUCCUUCUGUGGUGAGACCGCUGUCCCUCCCAGGCGGGUGGGCUGGAGUCUCAGAGGAGAGCUCACUGGUUAGAGAACAGUUCCAGCAAUUCCCAGCCUUGGGCACCAUCUCCCGGACGGGACGUUGCGCAGGUGCAUCGCUAAGAGUUGCCGGCUCGGUUGAGGAAGACAGACUUGGCCCACUUCAUCUGCCCAGCUUCUUUAAUCUCCCUUCACUGGAGCGUAUUUGCACAGGUUCCCCCAGUGUUUCCAGAUCUUCACUCCCUGUUUUACUGAGAUGAUGAUGUAAUUCUGAACUUUAGAAAAAAAAAUCUGUUUCUAGCCUUUCUUUAAAGGUUUUUCUUUUUUCUCCCUAAGCUUAGCCCUUCUCUGCGCUUCCGGUUUUUUGAGUUUUGUUUUUGGCCAUGACCCUGGCAUACGGAAGUUCCCAGGACAGGGGUGGAAUCUGCAUCACAGCAGCAACCGCAACUGCAAUGACAAUGCCAGGUCUUUAACCCCGCUGAGCCACAGAGUAAAUCCUGGGUUUUGUUUUUUUAACUAAAAAAAACCCCCAAAACCUCAUUCUCUUCCUCUUUGGCAGUGGCUAUUUAACCUUUUGAUCUCAACCUUUUGGAAAAUAAUGAAACUACAAAUCCUCUUCCCCCCACUGCCCACCCCCUUGCACACACAAAAUUAUGCUUUCUGAGUUUGCAGAGUCCCUGAAGGUGACUCCUGGACCCCGUAGGGAUCCAUUAACUUCAGGUUAAGAACCCUAGGUUUCACACAAAGAAACCCGCUCAAUCCAGCUAGAGUGUUGAUUCCCUUUGCUACUCACUACCACUGCAGUAAUGAGUACCUGCUAAGUCCUUUCUUUCCUCAAGCCCUAUGUUUUUAUUCCUUUGUGCACUGAUCACAAACAACCUUUCCAAAUCCAAUGGUUUAUUUCUUAUUCCCACACUUGCCUCUCACUGACCCAUCCCUCCCUGAAACUUUCCUAACUUCAGGCAGGAACCACUCUGUUCUACUCUGAAAGUCUUCCUACACUCCUCUACCCCCGCGGAGGGGGAACACUCCUAAAUAUUUCUUGUUCUGCUUCAAUUUUUAGAGAACUUCCCACUAUUGCAAAUCUGUUUUCCUUAUUGGAACCCUAUUUAUACGUUAUUGCCUACCUCCCCCCCCCCCGGCUUUUUAUGGCUGUACUGUGGCAUAUGGAAGUUCCUGCGCUGGGGUUGAAUUGGAGCUGCAGCUGCCAUCCUCCAGCAACACUAGAUCCAAGCCACAUCUGUGACCUACGACGCAGCUUGCAGCAACACGGCAUCCUUAACCCUCUGAGCAAGGCCAUGGAUCAAAGCCGCAUCCUCACGGAGUCUAUGUCGGAUUUUUAACGCGCUGAGCCACAACAGGUCUCCUAUAAUUGCAUACCUUUUAAGUGAAAUUAUCGUGGGAACAUUCAGUAAAUAUUUAUUGAGUACCAGCUCUACCUGGCACUUUACUUGAAGCUGGUGACAGAGGAUGGACAAGAGUUCACGCUCUCAUGGGGCUUACUUUUUAAUGGGAGGAGAGGGACAGACCUGUUAAAAUAUUGGUUGGCUGUAGGUACUGUGCUGGUAACUGAAGUAGGGAGGUGUGAUAAUGUGUGAUUGGGUGGCUACAUUUGCGUGGCCAGGAAAGGCCUUUGAGGAAAUGAAACGGGUAAGGUCUGAGUGACAGACAGGAGCUCAUGAUGGGCCCAGAGAAAAGCAUUCCAGAAGAAACUGGAGAAACAACAGCCCUAAGGUGAGAACAAGUUUGGCAUAUGAAGGAAUGGAAAGGUCACUGUGGCUGGAGGGUAGGGGGGUGUUACAAGAUGAGGUUGGAAAGAUAGAGGGUGAAUACCCACCUUAAUUUCUGAUUUAGCGUGUCCAUUCCAAACCUAGCCUUUCCAUUCCCCACUGCAACCAAUGCUUCCGUUAUGUUUCUUUUCUACCCAGUCAAUUAGACUGUGAAGCUGAGAGUCUUCCUUGACUACCUCUUUAGAAUAAUUAUUCUGGGAGUUCCUGUUGUCACUCAGCAGGUUAAGAACCUGAUAUAGACUCUGUAAGGGUGUGGCUUUGAUCCCUGGCCCUGCUCAGUGUGUUAAGGAUCCAGGGUUGCCACAAGCUGCAUCCUAGGUCACAGAUGCAGCUCUGAUCUGGCGUGGCUGUGGCUGUGGCCACAUUGCAGUGUGGCCAUCCUAGGCCAGCACUGCAGCUCCGAUUCUGCUCCUAGCCCGGGAACUUCCAUAUGCCACAGGUGUGCCCCCACCAAAAAGAAUAUUUAUUCUGAAAUGUUUUUGUUGGUGUUGGUCAUGCUGUCCUUUUCCCUGACAAUUGACACUAUACUUUCCCAGUAUCUGAUCAUUUUACAUGUGUAUUGUGAUAACCUUUGAGAGGCCUCCCUUUCUCUGGCAUCCGGCUUCACCAAUAUUUUGAUUCCCCGCCUUCCAGAGACAUGGCAGAAUUGUUCCUCCCAACUCCUCGAAGGUUGGAGGCCAUGGGAUUUGCUUUGACCAAGGAAGUGUGAGAGAAGCACGAGAGCUGCACCUUAGCUUCCCCUGUCACCCAACUGGUGAUGUUCAGAUGGUGGAGGCACCACCAGGCUGGGGCCCAGGUGAGGAUAAUGGAGCAGAGUCACCUACUUGCCACCUUCUUCCUCCCGCUGGACUUUCAGCAUGAGUAAGAAAUACAUCUCUGUUGUUUUAAGAUACAGAUUUUAUGAUUAUUCUAUACCAUAACAUGACCUAGCCUAGUGCGUCUCAGACUUUAGUGUGAUUACUUUAAGUAAUCACUUUAAGGUGAUAGCUGUCAUCUAAAAAAUUUGUCAGAAUGCAGGUUAUAACCCUGUAGGUCUAGGUGAGGACUGAGAUUCUGCAUUUCUGAUCAGCUCCCAGGGGAUUCUGAUUUUGCGAGACCCUGGACCACACUUGAAAUAACAAGGACCUUCCGCAUCCUGACUAUUUGAUACCCCCUCUCAACACAUCUAUACACACUCUAUCCUACAUCUCACCAGCACUUGACCUUCCUAAAAAAAACAAAUUAGCAUGCAAAGA